rnacentral:rRNA from 1 species
UACGGGGGGGGCAAGCGUUGUUCGGAAUUACUGGGCGUAAAGGGCUCGUAGGCGGCCAACUAAGUCAGACGUGAAAUCCCUCGGCUUAACCGGGGAACUGCCUCUGAUACUGGAUGGCUUGAGAUUGGGAGAGGGAUGCGGAAUUCCAGGUGUAGCGGUGAAAUGCGUAGAUAUCUGGAGGAACACCGGUGGCGAAGGCGGCAUCCUGGACCAACACUAACGCUGAGGAGCGAAAGCCAGGGGAGCAAACGGG